rnacentral:rRNA from 1 species
GACGUAGGGCGCGAGCGUUGUCCGGAUUUAUUGGGCGUAAAGAGCUCGUAGGCGGCUUGUCGCGUCGAAUGUGAAAACUCGGGGCUCAACUCCGAGCUUGCAUUCGAUACGGGCAGGCUAGAGUUCGGUAGGGGAGACUGGAAUUCCUGGUGUAGCGGUGAAAUGCGUAGAUAUCAGGAGGAACACCGAUGGCGAAGGCAGCCCCCUGGGUCAAAACUGACGCUCAUGCACGAAAGCGUGGGGAGCAACAGG